GUGCCAGCCGCCGCGGUAAUACGGGGGGGGCAAGCGUUGUUCGGAAUUACUGGGCGUAAAGGGCUCGUAGGUGGCCAACUAAGUCAUACGUGAAAUCCCUCAGCUUAACUGGGGAACUGCGUCUGAUACUGGAUGGCUUGAGUUUGGGAGAGGGAUGCGGAAUUCCAGGUGUAGCGGUGAAAUGCGUAGAUAUCUGGAGGAACACCGGUGGCGAAGGCGGCAUCCUGGACCAAUACUGACACUGAGGAGCGAAAGCCAGGGGAGCAAACGGGAUUAGAAACCCCCGUAGUCC
rnacentral:rRNA from 1 species